GGGGUGCCUCCUCCAGGGGCCAGGGGGUCUGGUUUUAUAGUCCCCUCAAGUGAACCUGGGCCGUCGGAUCAAACCGACAUUGAUUGAACGGUUAUUCUUGAUCCUUUAGGUCGGUGGAGCAUAAUCCGCGAGGUUGAACAUGAUUGGCCACUGUAGCAGGGCGGGCGCCCUAAGGACUUGGGCGGGCGCCCAGGUCCUGGGCCCGAUCGGCCUCCCGUUCGUUCCCGUGGCUUCUGGAGUCUUCUAGAUGGUAGAAAAUUGCGCGACACGUUGAUAUCUCUAUGUAAACCCGACGUGUGGGCCUUUCUUUCUUAUUUCCUGAUAACCCCCUGCAGAAAUAGACAAACACCAAAACUCGUGGGAUUCUGUUAGAUAAAACCCUAAGUCUCGAUGUUGAUUUCAUUUGGAUCCUUUUCUUUGUUUAUUUGAUAGUUAAAUUUGAUACUUAAGGACCGUCAACAAACUCCCCCAAGCUUACCUCUUGCUCGUCCCUGAGCAAGGAUAGACUCAGCUAUGGAUCAUAAGUUGUUGCAAUAUCUUUAAAAAUUGACGGUACACAUGAUUUUAAAUGAGGUCUCAUCUCUGAGUUAGAGUAAACUGUCAAGACUUAAAACUUACUUACUUUACCUUUCACCAUGGGACUUGUAACCGUCACUUCUGUCUUGAGUGGUUAAAAGAUAGAACAGUCUAGCCAAGUGCCAUGUCUCUUAUUCUUGAUCAGCUAUAGCUCUGGAGUUUUUGUAGAUUUUCAAAUAAAACUCAGAGAUUCCUUGUAUGACUCUCUAAAUCUCUCUUUUGUGGUAUUUCUGGAUCCUUACCAAGACAGUGAUGGUAUAUGCCUUCUCUCAAGAUAUGUGGUAUUUGUGGUAUAAGGCACAGUGACAUUGUCUUCUCUCUCACCCUACUCUAAUAAGGCUUUAAUAUCUGGAGCUCAUAGGUGGGAGAUAAAAUAUACAUACUUACAAGACAUUUAUUGUAUAGUCAAACCAUGGAUCCAAAGAAACAAAUCAAUAAGCCAAAUCAAGAUGUGCAUGUGUGGCGAAUGAAUAGUGUAUGGUGAUGAUGGUGAUAACAAUGGUGAAAGUCUAAUUCUACUUUUGCUCUUUUGAGGGGAUACAUACCUUCCUUGCUUUUUAAAACUUUAUGAGGAGAAUGAGAUGCUCUUCUUUUUCUUUCCUCUCAGGUGGGUAUCUUAUACCCCUAAUUCUACUGUCGGACACUUGUCCAUUUUUACCUCUCGUCUCACUUUUUCUUUCUUUCGAGGUUCCGGGCACUUGCCCCUUUUUAUUUCCUCGUUUAUUAUUAUUUUUUUCUUUUCUUCUCUUUUCUUUUUUUUUCAGAGCACUCAUCUCCUGAAAUAAUGUAGCAAGUGGUAGUAACCAAAAUAACUGGAGCAUUUAUUUCACAGGGAAUAACAGGGAUAGGAAAAUGUUUUUGGCUAUUCUCUCCCGGAUUAGGAGUAGAAUGAUUUUGGGUGAAACUGGAGAUGGAAAUGGAUGGAUAUAUGUGGAUGGUACUUCCGGAGUAGAAGUAGCAUAUAUGAGUGAACGUGCAAGUGAAUCUUGAUUUAACCACAUGACAAGCUCCUAAAGGUCUACAUAGCUUGACCACACUCAAUGCUCAUAAGCAGUAAAUAAUAAAUGUGUGGCUCAAAUUCUAGCAAGCAUGUAUAUAUGGCUGUGGUAGGAAUUUAAACUUUCAUCAUACAGGAACUCAUCAUGCAACAUUUUAAAGAUUUUUUUCAAAGAUAAAAUUCUCCAGAAUUCUAGCAUCUCUAGGAACAGAUAAACAGCAGCUCAACCUUUCCAUAUCAUAUCCGUUAACAACUUAGAUUUCAGAUCAAGUUUUCAUCCCACAAGUUUAGAUCUAGAGCAAGCUUUAAAUUAUAACAGUUAUGUCUAAACUUGAGAGAGAACUUCAAAUUUGCAAAUUAGGCAGAGCAACUAUUCAUCAUAUCCAUGCUAGAGUUUUAUUAUUAAGAUUCAUAGCAAACUUUAUUUAUUUAUUUAUUUAUUUAUUUAGCAAACUAAGAAAAGAUAUAUAUAUAUAUAAGCAUAAAAUCUUUAUUUGGUUUUUCAUAGUUUAUGUAUUUUAAUAUUCUAAUAUAAUAUAAGUAUAAAGAUAGGUAGAAAUACUUAGCGAGAUAAAUGGGGGUGCUCUCCCCCAAGCUGAAUUUUGACGUAAUUUCUCUUGACGUAGCUAGCAGGUGGCAGAGGUGUAUUUGAAAGUCAGCAGCAUUCUGACAGCGAUUAGAAUGUCCUCCGUCUGCUAGUCUUCUUGAUUCUUAAAUUCUGUGGAGCUCAAAUAGACAACAAAGCUUGUGGAACUAAUUAAGUGUUAGCAUAAAUAUCUAGCCUUCAUCACGUUGAGCUUCCUCAAUAAAUAUUACUCCCUGUUUUUAUAUUUUUAUUUUAUAAAGUAAAAAAGAAAUAUUUAUUUUAUUUUUAUGCCACCACAGUGAAGGUAUUUAUGGGUUUUAUGCCACUCGUAUACUCACAUGGGGCUUAGUAUUUUUUAACAUUUUUAUUUUCUUUUCAAGAUUGCAUGAUUAACUAAUAAUCUAUUUAAGGCAAGUAAAUAAUUAAAGGGAAAAGGGAAUGCAGAAAGGAUAAAUAUGGAUAACUACCAUUCUUACCUUUCGGCGAGGGUUCAAUGUUUUAAGUCUUCUUGACAAGACUUCUCACCGUGUUCAUUCUUCAGGUGCGUCAUUUGAUUCAGGUGCGGACCUUGACGUCUGCACCUUUUAAUACGGUGUCACCCAUGUUCUUCGUUUGCCCAGCAGUUCGAAGUGCGGUGUUAGCAGUAUCUUGCUCAGUGUGUUUGUGCUCGUAGUGUAUCUGCUCAUAGAGACAAGGCAGAGAUCAAGUGCAUGGGUCUUGUUGGUGGAAAACACCAACAGAACCUAAAGUGUAUUUGUUCUUCUUUAACCCUAAGCAUAGUGAGCAAGACAAAGUUGAUGGAUGAUAAGUUCAUGAGUGUAGCACUUAUAACAUUUGUUAGAUCAGAUCGCACAACCUUAUGGAAAGAUAAUUUAUCUAUGUAUAUGUCUUUUUCUUUAUAUCUCUCAAUGAUUGAAUGUGUAACAUUUUAGCUCAUAUGAUUAGGAGUGUGGGAUCACGGAGGUAGUACUAAGAACAAGGAUUAAAGGACUAAACAUGUUGAAUCAGAUGGGUUGGUUAAUCUAGAGUUGUAAAUCAUACACGUUUGUCUCUUUUAUUUAUAUGAACGCCAGAACCAAGGAGAAGCUUAUAAAAGUGAUAGUCAAGUACCUUAAGAUGUUACCUUGCUCGAAUAGUGAUGGUACAGUAUCAUCUUGUGGAAGCUUUCCUUUCUUAGCGGUUGUGCGUCGUGUUUGUGACACCCUCCAUGGAUCAUCUCUUAUGAGCUAUGUCUUCCUUGUGUAAAUUGUUAAACUUCAUGUGUCACUCUCUUCGUCUCUGAUGUGAGUUUAUCUCAGGACUUCCCAAAUUGAUAUUGAAAGUUUUUCUGCAGGGGUUAGUCCGACAAAAUAUACCAAUAUCUACUC
rnacentral:lncRNA from 1 species